rnacentral:rRNA from 1 species
GAUGAACGCUGGCGGCGUGCCUAAUACAUGCAAGUCGAGCGAACGGACGAGAAGCUUGCUUCUCUGAUGUUAGCGGCGGACGGGUGAGUAACACGUGGAUAACCUACCUAUAAGACUGGGAUAACUUCGGGAAACCGGAGCUAAUACCGGAUGAUAUUUUGAACCGCAUGGUUCAAAAGUGAAAGGCGGUCUUGCUGUCACUUAUAGAUGGAUCCGCGCUGCAUUAGCUAGUUGGUAAGGUAACGGCUUACCAAGGCAACGAUGCAUAGCCGACCUGAGAGGGUGAUCGGCCACACUGGAACUGAGACACGGUCCAGACUCCUACGGGAGGCAGCAGUAGGGAAUCUUCCGCAAUGGGCGAAAGCCUGACGGAGCAACGCCGCGUGAGUGAUGAAGGUCUUCGGAUCGUAAAACUCUGUUAUUAGGGAAGAACAUAUGUGUAAGUAACUGUGCACAUCCUGACGGUACCUAAUCAGAAAGCCACGGCUAACUACGUG